ensembl:sense_intronic Gm11656 predicted gene 11656
UUUAAUUAUUCAUUUCUAUUUGCUUGAAGAAACAUUCUUACAUGACACGCAUACGUCCGUGCAUUUCCUUGUUGCAGCAACAUGAAUUAAAUAAGCCGCUUUCACAAGUAGACCAACUCCAAGGGAUUUCUCGAUAACUUGUUUUCUCUAUGCUCUUCGCACUUCCUCCUCUCAGCUGAAGAAAAGGUAGAGCCUGGUAACCCGGAAGAUGUCAGGAACAAGACAGGAGGAUCUUUCCAGUGCUCCUUCAAGUAACUUUACAUUGUAUAUAAAAGUCCCCUUACGAAAGGUGAUGCUGUGUCAUAGUUUCUCAAAGUAACCAGUUUACAUAAUCCAUCGUGGCUUGAAUUCUCUCGAAUACUACUAUAUGGGGUCCACUGUGUCUUGAAUGUCUC